rnacentral:rRNA from 1 species
UAACGCGUGGAUAACCUGCCUUACACUGGGGGAUAACNCUUAGAAAUAGGUGCUAAUACCGCAUAAGCGCACAGAGCCGCAUGGCUCAGUGUGAAAAACUCCGGUGGUGUAAGAUGGAUCCGCGUCUGAUUAGCUGGUUGGCGGGGUAGAAGCCCACCAAGGCGACGAUCAGUAGCCGGCCUGAGAGGGUGAACGGCCACAUUGGGACUGAGACACGGCCCAAACUCCUACGGGAGGCAGCAGUGGGGAAUAUUGCACAAUGGGGGAAACCCUGAUGCAGCAACGCCGCGUGAGUGAAGAAGUCAUUCGUGAUGUAAAGCUCUAUCAGCAGGGAAGAAAAUGACGGUACCUGAGUAAGAAGCCCCGGCUAACUACGUGCCAGCAGCCGCGGUAAUACGUAGGAGGCAAGCGUUAUCCGGAUUUACUGGGUGUAAAGGGAGCGUAGACGGCCAGACAAGUCUGAAGUGAAAAUCCAGCGCUUAACGUUGGAAGUGCUUUGGAAACUGCCGGGCUAGAGUGCAGGAGGGGCAGGCGGAAUUCCUAGUGUAGCGGUGAAAUGCGUAGAUAUUAGGAGGAACACCAGUGGCGAAGGCGGCCUGCUGGACUGCAACUGACGUUGAGGCUCGAAGGCGUGGGGAGCAAACAGGAUUAGAUACCCUGGUAGU